rnacentral:rRNA from 1 species
AUUGAACGCUGGCGGCAGGCCUAACACAUGCAAGUCGAACGAGUGGCGGACGGGUGAGUAAUGUCUGGGAAACUGCCUGAUGGAGGGGGAUAACUACUGGAAACGGUAGCUAAUACCGCAUACCCUCGGAUGUGCCCAGAUGGGAUUAGUUGGUAGGUGGGGUAAAGGCUCACCUAGGCGACGAUCCCUCGCUGGUCGGAGAGGAUGACCAGCCAAACGGUAACUGGGAAACGGUCCAGCCUCUGACGGUGGGCAGCAUGGGGGAUUAUUGCACAUGGGGGGCAAGCCGAAGGCAGCAAUGCCGCUUGGGUGAAGAAGGCCUUCGGGUUGUAAAGCACUUUCAGCGAGGAGGCGUUACUCGCAGAAGAAGCACCGGCUAACUCCGUGCCAGCCGCCGCGGUAAUAC